rfam:Chloroflexi bacterium RBG_13_54_8 RBG_13_scaffold_34052, whole genome shotgun sequence.
GGGGCUGUGGCUCAGAGGGAGAGCGUCUGACUGGCAGUCAGAAGGUCGCGGGUUCGAGUCCCGCCAGCUCCA